CCAUGCAAGUCGAGCGGUAGAGAGAAGCUUGCUUCUCUUGAGAGCGGCGGACGGGUGAGUAAUGCCUAGGAAUCUGCCUGGUAGUGGGGGAUAACGCUCGGAAACGGACGCUAAUACCGCAUACGUCCUACGGGAGAAAGCAGGGGACCUUCGGGCCUUGCGCUAUCAGAUGAGCCUAGGUCGGAUUAGCUAGUUGGUGAGGUAAUGGCUCACCAAGGCGACGAUCCGUAACUGGUCUGAGAGGAUGAUCAGUCACACUGGAACUGAGACACGGUCCAGACUCCUACGGGAGGCAGCAGUGGGGAAUAUUGGACAAUGGGCGAAAGCCUGAUCCAGCCAUGCCGCGUGUGUGAAGAAGGUCUUCGGAUUGUAAAGCACUUUAAGUUGGGAGGAAGGGCAUUAACCUAAUACGUUGGUGUCUUGACGUUACCGACAGAAUAAGCACCGGCUAACUCUGUGCCAGCAGC
rnacentral:rRNA from 1 species